GUAAGUGAAACCUUUUGAAAGAGGUAUCCAUGUGUACAGUGUUUCUAGAACAGUGUGGUAUGAGGAGGAAAGUUCAGCUUUCAAGUUGUUCUCAGGUGACAUCUACAUACAUCACCAUAUUAAAACAAUAGUUGUACUAGAGUAAAAUACCUGUUCAUAUCUUAAGAAUAGAUACUGCUGUGCAGUUGUGGGGAAGGGAGGGCAAAUGGAGAAGAAUCUGUACAGUCUCUCUCAUCUGCUGUUUCUUGUAUUGGUUUCCAGGAGAAGACAGAGCAUAAGCCCUCGUGAAAUAUAAGGUGCAGUGUUUGGCCAUGUCGGUGGCCUUCUCCCCGUUGGUGGAUGAAGCAGUGGCCUUAGCAACCAUCUCCUCUCUGGGGAGCGGAGAGAAUUCUUUCUCCCUCUCUUCCUGCCCCUCAGGUGUGGCCACUUCACUGCAUGAAGUAUGUUUGCACAUGUUUCACAGUAAAAUAGCCCCCAGAGCACUUCAAAGUACUUCACAGAGCUGUAAUUUCAGCUGCUCUGGGGAAUCCUUUAUUGUGGCACUUCCACGAGCAAAUUCCAACUACUGGCAUUUCUCGGAGCUAAUUCUUGUGUGAAUGAAUCCUAAAAUCGGCUUCUUUCAAACGAGAGUCCAAAACUUUUCCGUUUCAUAAGUUCAUUAGUACCAGUGAAUGGGUUCCAACUGCAAAUGCAGUAUUAGGAAAACUUGGCAGUUUCUGUUUAUUAAAUGCAAGUAAAAUAAACAUGCCCAUUUCUGGGGAAAAUUGUGGAACACCAACAUCACAGAGAGAAUCUGAAGAAAACUUGGGGAAGGUGGUCAGUGGGACAGAUGGCAAUAGAAGGGAAAGCGGCAAUCAGUUUCUUCUAAACUGAAAAGGAGAAAGAUGGGGAUGUUAGAGUGCUUUAAGUCCUAGAAAUUUGCCACUUUCUGUUGCAGUGUUCAAGCAGUUCCUCCAGUUGACAGUUACCAGGGAGUUGCUGCCAAGCGUCUUUCUCAAUGCCUGCCUUCGAAAUCUACCCUGUCCUGGGCACAUCUCACAGUCCUGUCUUAAAAAUGCAACAACUCAAGCUUUCUUCAAGAGGCAGCAAUAUAUUAAAGUGCAGUGAUGUCGGUUUUCGGGGGAGGGGGGGCUGAAUUGAGACUUAUUUUUUUUUUGCAUCAGGACAGGGGGAAAAUUGGUUGGCAUAAGAAAAUACUCUCACAUGCUGGGGUGUGAUCUAAUUUAGCACAAUCAGUUUGCUUGUAUUUAUUAGACAAAGCAAAAAAGUAUUACAUUCCUAGCUUGCCUAGUAUUGUAUUUGCAACUGGCAUCCAUUCAUUUUCUGCAAAUGAGCUUACAAAAAUGGGAUUUCUGCAUAGGAAAAUGAAGCCCCAUAAUUUUUUCUGCCCCAUGCUGCUGGAUUUUCUAAACUCAAUUCUAUAUACAUCAACGUUUGUAAGCAAUUUAACACUAGUGACAACAUUCCAAGCAGUAACCAGGUGUUUACUUUGAAAACGUGAACCCUAGGAGGUAUUUCUACCCGACUUAAAGUCUAUCUUAAUUCUUUUUAGGGAGAAUUGAAGAAUGUGGGGCAGAGCUUAAUGUGAACCUUCUUGAAGUCCUUCUGCAAUUUUCUAGUUCUCUGUCUCUUAAGUUUAUAUGAAUGCGAUCAAAGUUGAUAGGUACUUGUGGGUCAGAAAUUCUUUCUGUUCCAAUUUCCAUCUAUUCCCCCCUCCCCUGCUCACCCCCACUUGCUGCCUGAAACCUUGUGUAAUAUUUAUCUUGGUGCUAGAAUGUUUCUGGAAUACUUGAGGUAAAUUGGAUGAGGCAUUUGGGAGAUAAGAGGGUUCAACAAAAGGGGUGACUUCACUUCUUGAAUAUUCUUCAACUCUGCGUGAGUUCCCUAACCACUUGGCUCACAACUUUUCUAAUCUUUUGCUUUUAGUGGGAGUUAAUAAAUUGGGCCAGCUCUCAUGUGGAAGUUGGCAAGUCUUAGUGUUAGGUACAUAUUUAAUUGCAGCCUUUAUCUCUCAAAUGCUAGGAUAAAUUGCAGGGGCAAUGCCAUGUUUCCAUAGAUGUGGGAGGAGAGGCAUGGGUUGUGCAACUUUGCAAUAAUUUAUUCUGGGUUGCUUAGCCGCAACCUGUAUCGUUUGCUGUUGUUCCUCUCUUCGUUGUGUUACCAUUCCCGCCAGUUACACUUCCGCUGGGGUUUUGUUUUUUUAAAAGGGAUUGUUCAACGUGUUCUCUAGGGGCUGAGGGCCAUGGCUGCAUGCUUGCACUUCAUAGUACUGCCUUGUUUAACACAAAACAGCAUUUGUGAUGUGCUCAUUCUCCCAUCUAGUUGGUCAAUAGCUCUUGACAGAUGGGAGAGUGAGAACUAUUUGUACAGCCUGUAAAGUGCAGGAACAAAAUGCAGGACUGUCUUCCUCCCAACAGUUAGUGUUAUUUCUUAAAGUUUGAAGGAGAAUGAGCAAGUGUUGCAUGCGAUCAUCCUAGCACAACCUGCCCGUGAUCUGCACGUGUCUUUAUCCUUACGUGAGGUUCCUGCUUGUCUCUGGUGGAAUUUUUAAAAUGCCAAUGCUAAUGCAUUUGUUUUGUACAACAGGGCACUCAACAUCUUGUCUGCCAUAACUCAAAUACUGCACGCAGGUUGGACGAUGCACGUGGUUGAAAAGUUGUUUAUGUAGAACUUGCACUGUGCAAAGUGCUUUAGAAAAGCCUUGCUCAUCAUAAUCGUAUGAGGUAUAUUUUUCAGAUUUUGCAGAUGACAAAAUAAGACUGUGUAGCUGAAAAUCGUUUUGAGAGUUCAUAAGAGCUGAGGUGGAAUUUGGCCUUUUAGAUCAUGGGUGAGUGGUGUAGCUUCACAUCAUUAGCUUUGUGAAACCAUGAUAUAUUUGUAAUUGGUUUUCAUCUCGGGGGGGCCUAGUUGCUGCAAAAUUUGGACAUUGGGGUAAGGUGUAAAGGAAGGAAUGGGUUGUGUUAUAGGUGAUGGAGCUCAUACAAAUUAAAAGUCAUAUAAUUCAAAACUAGUUAUACAGCAGACCCCUAAUGUCUCUUUGGCUUUUCUCUGUUUUCUAAGCAAUUACUUCUGCAUCUUCAAGCUUUCUCCUUGACCGUGAAGGCUAAACCACCUUAAAAUUUUCAAGUUUGUAUGUUCCUGCCAGAUUUUUCAUCUUGUGCUGGCAUGUGGCACAACUCACAAUCCACUGUAGGCUGAUUCCCUUUUGGAGAAGCACAAGUUUGGCCCUAAUGUUGCACACGAGCAUAACUGGAAAACCUCCAAGAUGUGACUUAAUACCUUAGCAAUACUGCAUAGAAGUUUAUUUACUUGGGACGUGGAGCUCUGGAACAUAAGCAAAAAAGAUACAGGGCUCUGUCCCAAGGAGCUUGCAGUCUGAUGUUUUGAUAGGAGUGGAGAUGAUAAAAGGAGGACCGGAGAGGGAUGUGCAAGCACUUCAUGGAAUAAAUAGUUUUUGAGGGAGACAUUUGAAGAAAGAGUGAAGUAGUGCCCAGAAGUUUACAACAUUGGGCCUUGUUCUUUGCAAUCUGUGUGCCCAUAUUGCAGCAGAAUCUGUGGUUAAUCUUGUUCCCAAGUAAUGGUAAUUGAGUUUACACUGAAGUGAAAGUUAG